rnacentral:rRNA from 1 species
AACGAACGCUGGCGGCAGGCUUAACACAUGCAAGUCGAACGCCCCGCAAGGGGAGUGGCAGACGGGUGAGUAACGCGUGGGAACAUACCCUUUCCUGCGGAAUAGCUCCGGGAAACUGGAAUUAAUACCGCAUACGCCCUACGGGGGAAAGAUUUAUCGGGGAAGGAUUGGCCCGCGUUGGAUUAGCUAGUUGGUGGGGUAAAGGCCUACCAAGGCGACGAUCCAUAGCUGGUCUGAGAGGAUGAUCAGCCACAUUGGGACUGAGACACGGCCCAAACUCCUACGGGAGGCAGCAGUGGGGAAUACUGGACAAUGGGCGCAAGCCUGAUCCAGCCAUGCCGCGUGAGUGAUGAAGGCCUUAGGGUUGUAAAGCUCUUUCACCGAUGAAGAUAAUGACGGUAGUCGGAGAAGAAGCCCCGGCUAACUUCGUG